UACGUAGGGGGCAAGCGUUGUCCGGAGUUACUGGGCGUAAAGCGCACGCAGGCGGUCAAGUAAGUUUGGAGUGACAGUUGGUGGCUUAACUGCCAAAGUGCUUCGAAAACUGCUCGACUUGAGGGCUUCAGAGGGACACGGAAUUCCGGGUGGAGUGGUGAAAUGCGUAGAUAUUCGCAAGAACACCAGUGGCGAAGGCGGCUCACUGGCCCGGAACUGACGCUGAGACGCGAAAGCGUGGGGAGCAAACAGG
rnacentral:rRNA from 1 species